rnacentral:rRNA from 1 species
CCUACGGGGGGCAGCAGUGGGGAAUAUUGGGCAAUGGGCGCAAGCCUGACCCAGCAACGCCGCGUGAAGGAAGAAGGCUUUCGGGUUGUAAACUUCUUUUAAGAGGGAAGAGCAGAAGACGGUACCUCUUGAAUAAGCCACGGCUAACUACGUGCCAGCAGCCGCGGUAAUACGUAGGUGGCAAGCGUUGUCCGGAUUUACUGUGUGUAAAGGGCGUGCAGCCGGGAAGACAAGUCAGAUGUGAAAUCCCGCGGCUAAACCGCGGAACUGCAGGUGAAACUGUUUAUCUUGAGUACCGGCGAGGUCAUCGGAAUGCCUGGUGUAGCGGUGAAAUGCGGAGAGAUAAGGAAGAACACCAGGGGCGAAGGCGGAUGACUGGACGGCAACUGACGGGGAGGCGCGAAAGCGUGGGGAGCAAACAGGAGGAGAUACCCGAGGAGUC